rnacentral:rRNA from 1 species
AUCAGGAAUCUUGCGCAAUGGGGGAAACCCUGACGCAGCGACGUCGCGUGAAGGACGAAGGCCUUCGGGUUGUAAACUUCUUUUAUGAGGGAAGAGCAAGGACGGUACCUCAUGAAUAAGCCCCGGCUAACUCCGUGCCAGCAGCCGCGGUAAUACGGAGGGGGCGAGCGUUGUCCGAAUUUAUUGGGCGUAAAGCGCGUGUAGGCGGAUUUUCAAGCCUGAGGUGAAAGGUUGGGGCUCAACCCCAUACAGUGCCUUGGGGACUGAAAGUCUGGAGGCCGGCAGAGGAGAGUGGAAUUCCUGGUGUAGCGGUGGAAUGCGUAGAGAUCAGGAAGAACACCCAUGGCGAAGGCAGCUCUCUGGGCCGGUACUGACGCUGAGACGCGAAAGCGUGGGGAGCGAACGG